rnacentral:rRNA from 1 species
AACGAACGCUGGCGGCGGGCCUAACACACGCAAGUCGAGCGCCUCGCAAGGGGAGCGGCAGACGGGUGAGUAACGCGUGGGAAACUACCCUUUGGUACGUAACAACUCGGCGAAAGCUGAGCUAAUACCGUAUGUGUCCUUCGGGAGAAAGAUUUAUCGCCAAAGGAUGUGCCCGCGUCGGAUUAGCUAGUUGGUGGGGUAACGGCACACCAAGGCGACGAUCCGUAGCUGGUCUGAGGGAUGAUCAGACACACUGGGACUGAGACACGGCCCAGACUCCUACGGGAGGAAGCGGUUGGGAAUAUUGUACAAUGGGGGCAACCAUGAUCCAGCCAUGCCGCGUGAGUGAUGAAGGCCUUAGGGUUGUAAAGCUCUUUCGCCCGCGAAGAGAAUGACUGUGGCGGCAGAAGAAGCCCCGGCUAACUUCGUGCCAGCAGCCGCCGCCGUAA